GGCCGCUUGGUCUAGUAGUAUGAUUCCUGUUUUGGGUAUUGCACCCCUAGUGCUUACAUAAUACAGGAGGUCGUGGGUUCAAUUCCCACAGCGGCCC
rnacentral:tRNA from 1 species